GUGGAUCCAUGUAGUAGGCCUCCUGACUUCAUCUUUCUUCCCUGCAUAAAUAUCAUUCAUUUGACCAUUUUAUAUGGCACCAUAUGCUAGAGCAAUGACAACAUUUGAUAAGUUGUUUUGAAAAAUUGAAAGAUUAAUGCUGUUAAGAAUCAGUCCAACCUUAGUUCUCUUUCCCAUCUUGCAAGAUGGUGGUGAAAAAGUUGAGAAGUCGGAUACUAAAGAGAAGAAACCUGAAGCCAAGAAGGCUGAUGCUGGUGGCAAAGUGAAAAAGGGUACCCUCGAGGCUAAAAAGCCCAAGAAGGGGAAGCCCCGUUGCAGCCACAAUCCUGUCCUUGUCAGAGGAAUUGGCAGGUACUCCCGAUCUGCCAUGUAUUCCAGAAAGGCCAUGUACAAGAGGAAGUACUCAGCCGCUAAAUCCAAGGUUGAAAAGAAAAAGGAGAAGUUUCUUGCAACUGUUACAAAACCAGUUGGUGGUGACAAGAAUUGCGGUAUUGGGUGGUUAAACUUCGCAAAAUGCCUAAGUAUUAUCCUACUGAAGAUGUGCCUCGAAAGCUGUUGAGCCACGGCAAAAAACCCUUCAGUCAGCACGUGAGCAAACUGUGAACCAGCAUUACCCCCGGGACCAUUCUGAUCAUCCUCACUGGGCGCUGCAGGGGCAAGAGGGUGGUUUUCUGAAGCAGCUGGCUGGUGGCUUGUUACUUGUGACUGGACCUCUGGUCCUCAAUCAAGUUCCUCUAUGAAGAACAUACCAGAAAUUUGUCAUUGCCACCUCAACCAAAAUUGAUAUCAGCAAUGUAAAAAUCCCGAAACAUCUUACUGAUACUUACUUCAAGAAGCAGCAGCUGCGGAAGCCCAGACGCCAGAAAGGUGAGCUCUUCAACACAGAAAAAGAGAAAUAUGAGAUUACAGAGCAGCACAAGAUUGAUCAGAAAGCUGUGGACUCACAAAUUUUACCAAAAAUCAAAGAUUUCCUCAGCUCCAGGGCUACCUGCGAUCUGUGUUUGCCCUGACAAAUGGAAUUUAUCCUCACAAAUUGGUGUUCUAAAUGUCCUAAGAAUCUAAUUAAAUAAUUGAUUACCUUUUGGGGAAAAAAAAAGAAUCAGUCAAAACUGAAUGUUUUUCAUAUGUAGAAAUAAUCUACUUACAUGGAAGAGGCCAGAGGAAAAAAAUAUAUAAAAAUACAAGUAAAAUUGAGAUAAUCCAGAGAGAUAAUUUACCAGUCACUUGUCUAUCUCCUAAAUCUCAUCAAAAGGGCUUCUGUAAACUGGUGAGAGGAUGUUGAGGGGGAAUUGCCUGGAGGGAGAUGACUUAAAAGGAGACUUAAAAGGCUUAUGCACU